rnacentral:tRNA from 1 species
CGGGGUGUAGCGCAGUCCGGUUAGCGUACUUCGUUCGGGACGAAGGGGUCGGAGGUUCGAAUCCUCUCACCCCGA